rnacentral:antisense_RNA from 1 species
ACGGCAGCGUGACUGAGUCAGAGUCAGGCAAAUCAGGCCGCGGCCAUGGGUCGCCAUAAAGUUAACCGCAUCCGGGGUGAUUUUCUCGGCAGCAAUGAUCA